CCUACGGGUGGCAGCAGUGGGGAAUAUUGGGCAAUGGGCGCAAGCCUGACCCAGCAACGCCGCGUGAAGGAAGAAGGCCCUCGGGUUGUAAACUUCUUUUGUCAGGGACGAAACAAAUGACGGUACCUGACGAAUAAGCCACGGCUAACUACGUGCCAGCAGCCGCGGUAAUACGUAGGUGGCAAGCGUUAUCCGGAUUUACUGGGUGUAAAGGUCGUGUAGGCGGGAGAGCAAGUCAGAUGUGAAAUUCCAGGGCUCAACCCUGGAACUGCAUUUGAAACUGUUUAUCUUGAGUGUUGGAGAGGCAAGCGGAAUUUCGGGUGUAGCGGUGAAAUGCGUAGAUAUACGGAGGAACACCAGUAGCGAAGGCGGCCUGCUGGACAUUAACUGACGCUGAGGCGCGAAAGCGUGGGGAGCAAACAGGAUUAGAUACCCGGGUAGUC
rnacentral:rRNA from 1 species